GAAAGUGAUGUUGCUCAGUCGUGUCCGACUCUUAGCGACCCCAUGGACUGCAGCCCACCAGGCUCCUCCAUCCAUGGGGUUUUCCAGGCAAGAGUACUGGAGUGGGGUGCCACUGCCUUCUCCGAAAUAAGGCUCUACUUGAAAGCAAAAAAAACACAAUUGAUUAGUGAUCGGGUGAAAGGAAAUUGUCUUGUUAUUGAAACCACUUGAAGAAGACCAGGAUUUGUGCAUUUUCCAUUAUGUUUUGCUGCAUCAUUAAACCACAGGAAGAUAAAAACAAAAAGGAAACCACAUUACUUUAUAUAACUUUCAAACCUCAUGUAACCUCCCGGCCCUCCCCUCUUAGCCAGAUUCAUCAUCUGCCUCUAAAGCAUGAUAAUUUUCUGGAGUAAAACAUGUCUAGGAAAAAAGUUCCUAUACUUUGGAUAAAAAUACACAUAACUCAUUUAUAUUCUAGGUGAUGUAUGACAAUGUUCAGCAGCGGGGAAAAUAGCAGAGUGAGUUGGCACAUGUCACAAAUACUCCAGUUCUCCUUCUGGUUCUCCCACUGUGUACUAACCACAAGUAUGCAGGCCCGAAGACUGAAUACUAAUCAAAAGGGAAAACUGGGUUGGUUGCGGCUUAAGGCCUUAGUAGGAAAGUCCUCCAGCUGCCAGGGCAUGUGUUGAACACAUGACUCCUGCUGGCAAUGGUCGAUGCUCUACACCAGCUGAGUACCAGCAACCUGGAAGUUGGGCUAUUUUCCUUUUUAAUUUCCAUUUAAUUUGCAGUUUUAUCAAAAUGAAAUGUUUACUUCAUUUUUAGAAGGCAAACAAUUCUACCAGCCUGUAAGGAAAUCCUCUAUCUCUACCAACCCCUGAUUUAUACUUCUCAGAUUACAGACUUACUGACUAGAUUAUCCAUUUAAAAUCUAUUCACUGUUUUUGUCCCCAUGUUUCUAAGUAACCUGCUUCUCUUGUGUUGCUUGCUUUUUCAAGUUUAGAUAGAUGUAUUGAUUUCCCAUUAUAAAACACACAAACUUCACUUUACUAUGUACUCCCGUAUACACACAUGCACACAUACGCAUAGUAUCAGCUAGUUUUGCUGUGUAACAAAUCAUCCCAAAACAUACUGGCUUAAACCAGCCCUUUAUGUAUUCACAAAUCUGUGGAUCAGAAAUCUGAACUGGAUUGGGCAAUCCUGGUCUUGACUGAGCUCAUGUUCAGCUGUAGUUGGUUACUGGAGUUGCUGUGGGCUGGCUAGCUGGAGUGGCCUCAGCUAGAGAGCCUCUCUCACUCUCCAUGCAAUCUUCCAUCCUCUAGCGAGUUAUGAUGGACUCGUUCACACGGUGUUUCUGAGCAUAGCAAUAAAUUUUAUCCUCUUAUUUCUUCUAAAUUCA
rnacentral:lncRNA from 1 species